CCUACGGGAGGCAGCAGUGGGGGAUAUUGCACAAUGGGGGAAACCCUGAUGCAGCGACGCCGCGUGCGCGAUGAAGUAUUUCGGUAUUUAAAGCUCUAUCAGCAGGGAAGAAAAUGACGGUACCUGACUAAGAAGCCCCGGCUAACUACAGUCCAGCAGCCGCGGUAAUACGUAGGGGGCAAGCGUUAUCCGGAUUUACUGGGGGUAAAGGGAGAGUAUACGGCAGUGCAAGUCUGAAGUGAAAGGCAAGGGCUCAACCCUUGGACUGCUUUGGAAACUGUGCUGCUGGAGUGUCGGAGAGGCAGGUGGAAUUGUUAGGGGAGCGGUGAAAUGCGUAGAUAUUAGGAGGAACACCAGUGGCGAAGGCGGCUUGCUGGACGAUGACUGACGUUGAGGCUCGAAAGCGUGGGGAGCAAACAGGAUUAGAUACCCUUGUAGUC
rnacentral:rRNA from 1 species